AGGUGGCAAGCGUUGUCCGGAUUUACUGGGCGUAAAGGGCGCGUAGGCGGCCUUCUAAGUCGAACGUGAAAUCCCCGGGCUCAACCCGGGAACUGCGUCCGAGACUGGAAGGCGCGAAUCCGGGAGAGGGAUGUGGAAUUCCAGGUGUAGCGGUGAAAUGCGUAGAUAUCUGGAGGAACAUCGGUGGCGAAGGCGGCAUCCUGGACCGGUAUUGACGCUGAGGCGCGAAAGCCAGGGGAGCAAACGGG
rnacentral:rRNA from 1 species